rnacentral:rRNA from 1 species
GAUGAACGCUGGCGGCGUGCUUAACACAUGCAAGUCGAACGGAAAGGCCCAAGCUUGCUUGGGUACUCGAGUGGCGAACGGGUGAGUAACACGUGGGUGAUCUGCCCUGCACUUCGGGAUAAGCCUGGGAAACUGGGUCUAAUACCGGAUAGGACGAUGGUUUGGAUGCCAUUGUGGAAAGUUUUUUCGGUGUGGGAUGAGCUCGCGGCCUAUCAGCUUGUUGGUGGGGUAAUGGCCUACCAAGGCGUCGACGGGUAGCCGGCCUGAGAGGGUGUACGGCCACAUUGGGACUGAGAUACGGCCCAGACUCCUACGGGAGGCAGCAGUGGGGAAUAUUGCACAAUGGGCGCAAGCCUGAUGCAGCGACGCCGCGUGGGGGAUGACGGCCUUCGGGUGGUAAACUCCUUUCGCUAGGGACGAAGCGUUUUUGUGACGGUACCUGGAGAAGAAGCACCGGCUAACUACGUG